GAUUUCUGGUUUGAUAUGCCUGGCCCGCCACGGUUUCGUGUGUGUGCGCCGGUGCGUGUCUGCCAUCCUUCUGGAAAACGUGUCUACCCUUCACUGGGCCGGAUGCGCGAUCCAGAUCUUUUACUUUGAAAAAAUUAGAGUGUUUAAAGCAGGCAUUUUGCUAUGAAUACAUUAGCAUGGAAUAAUAAUUUAGGACUUUGAUCCUAUUUUGUUGGUUCUAGGGUCGAAGUAAUGAUUGAUAGGGAUAGUUGGGGGUGCUCGAAUUCAGCGGCCAGAGGUGAAAUUCUUGGAUUCGCUGAAGACGAACUCAUGCGAAAGCAUU
rnacentral:rRNA from 1 species